AUUGAACGCUGGCGGCAGGCCUAACACAUGCAAGUCGAACGGUAACAGGAAGCAGCUUGCUGCUUCGCUGACGAGUGGCGGACGGGUGAGUAAUGUCUGGGAAGCUGCCUGAUGGAGGGGGAUAACUACUGGAAACGGUAGCUAAUACCGCAUAAUGUCGCAAGACCAAAGAGGGGGACCUUCGGGCCUCUUGCCAUCGGAUGUGCCCAGAUGGGAUUAGCUUGUUGGUGGGGUAACGGCUCACCAAGGCGACGAUCCCUAGCUGGUCUGAGAGGAUGACCAGCCACACUGGGACUGAGACACGGUCCAGACUCCUACGGGAGGCAGCAGUGGGGAAUAUUGCACAAUGGGCGCAAGCCUGAUGCAGCCAUGCCGCGUGUAUGAAGAAGGCCUUCGGGUUGAAAAGUACUUUCAGCGGGGAGGAAGGGAGUAAAGUUAAUACCUUUGCUCAUUGACGUUACCCGCAGAAGAAGCACCGGCUAACUCCGUG
rnacentral:rRNA from 1 species